UCAAGGUGUUGCAGAACAAGUCAAUAAAACCUCAUCAGCCCGAGUUGAAUCCCCAACUGUACCACAAAUGGCCCAACCUGAUCUCCAGGAACCAGUGGCCCUGCCUCAUACCAGAGCAGCUCCAACUGGACCACCAGCAGCCCUUAUUGGACCACCAAAGUCCCCAAUUUGAGAGCCAGUAUCCCUUUUAGGACCCUCAGGACACCAUGCAACACCACUGCAGCAAUCUGGGAAAAGAAACCCAUUACCCAGAUGGACUCCCAAGAGCCUCGCCAGUUUCUCUUGGAAAAGAUGGUGUGAAAGAAGGCUUUCCAGCUCUCACUACAGUGCGGCCAGAUCAAAGGAAAGGGCCAGAAAUGGAAGCAGGUGGAGUGGGAGUCGUGCAAACUUUGGUAUGUACAACGUC